UUUUCUUUAGGCUUCGAUUGUUCUUUUUCCAAAGUGAAGCCGCAUAAAGCAAACUUAAUAGGGAACGUGGUGCCUGUCUUAAGGUCUUUACUUUAAAACAUUAAUCCACGGCUGUACCCGCAACUGUAAACAGGGCUGAUAAUACAAACCACUGGCAAAAGCCGGGAAGGGUAUUGUCGGGUUAUCCCUAAAGCCAGGAAACCUGCCAUUGAAAACUUAUAAAC
rnacentral:ncRNA from 1 species